UAAUCUAUCUUUUUUUGUUAUUUAUUUGGUCAUAUCAAAUUGUUUUUAUAAUGAUUUUUAGGCAUUCAAAGGUUAUGAGAACACUUCAGAGAACUGGGUAUUGAGCAUCACAUCCUUGUCAGGCGCAUUUAAUGGGACUACAAGAACCUACUUAGAUGGGAUGCAGUAAGUUCUAUUCAAACUUUUUCCUUUAUUUUAAACAAAUUUAUUUAGAGGAUUCCAUUUUUCAAAUGUUAAAUGCAAUAUCUGAAUGAUACAAUAAACUAUCCACUUACUAAGAUUGAUGAUUUAUUGCUGGAGAAUGUAAAGUAGCCUAAGGCAGCAGCAACUGGAAUAUUGCUAUUCAGUCAUGUGGUUGUACAUCUGAAAUUGUUAUUUGUUCCUUAUACACGAAAUGUUCCCAAAUGAUGCUUGGGAAGUUAUUAACAACUUUAUUCAUUAUGUCAAUUUCUCCAAUAUCGAAUUCUAUUUUCUUUAACAUACCAUACAUGGCUGAUUCAGAACAUUGCUGCUAUGUUUUCAAAUUAUCACAGACCAGAAGAUGGGAGGACCAUGAAACCAAUAUGCCUGCUUCAGCUGUGCCGCAUAGGAGUGAUAAUAUAUGACUGGCUUGAUAUUGUUUGGCUAAAGGAUUAUUACAAUUUUGGCUUUGAUCACUUCAACAUGUCAUGGAAGAAAAUGGGUAUUCGUGGUCUACUUG
rnacentral:lncRNA from 1 species